AAGUGAGAAUGCCGGUGUGAGUAGCGAAAGACGGGUGAGAAUCCCGUCCACCGAUUGACUAAGGUUUCCAGAGGAAGGCUCGUCCGCUCUGGGUUAGUCGGGUCCUAAGCUGAGGCCGACAGGCGUAGGCGAUGGAUAACAGGUUGAUAUUCCUGUACCACCUAUAAUCGUUUUAAUCGAUGGGGGGACGCAGUAGGAUAGGCGAAGCGUGCGAUUGGAUUGCACGUCUAAGCAGUAAGGCUGAGUAUUAGGCAAAUCCGGUACUCAUUAAGGCUGAGCUGUGAUGGGGAGAAGACAUUGUGUCUUCGAGUCGUUGAUUUCACACUGCCGAGAAAAGCCUCUAGAUAGAAAAUAGGUGCCCGUACCGCAAACCGACACAGGUAGUCAAGAUGAGAAUUCUAAGGUGAGCGAGCGAACUCUCGUUAAGGAACUCGGCAAAAUGACCCCGUAACUUCGGGAGAAGGGGUGCUCUUUAGGGUUAACGCCCAGAAGAGCCGCAGUGAAUAGGCCCAAGCGACUGUUUAUCAAAAACACAGGUCUCUGCUAAACCGUAAGGUGAUGUAUAGGGGCUGACGCCUGCCCGGUGCUGGAAGGUUAAGAGGAGUGGUUAGCUUCUGCGAAGCUACGAAUCGAAGCCCCAGUAAACGGCGGCCGUAACUAUAACGGUCCUAAGGUAGCGAAAUUCCUUGUCGGGUAAGUUCCGACCCGCACGAAAGGCGUAACGAUUUGGGCACUGUCUCAACGAGAGACUCGGUGAAAUCAUAGUACCUGUGAAGAUGCAGGUUACCCGCGACAGGACGGAAAGACCCCGUGGAGCUUUACUGUAGCCUGAUAUUGAAAUUCGGCACAGCUUGUACAGGAUAGGUAGGAGCCUUUGAAACGUGAGCGCUAGCUUACGUGGAGGCGCUGGUGGGAUACUACCCUAGCUGUGUUGGCUUUCUAACCCGCACCACUUAUCGUGGUGGGAGACAGUGUCAGGCGGGCAGUUUGACUGGGGCGGUCGCCUCCUAAAAGGUAACGGAGGCGCUCAAAGGUUCCCUCAGAAUGGUUGGAAAUCAUUCAUAGAGUGUAAAGGCAUAAGGGAGCUUGACUGCGAGACCUACAAGUCGAGCAGGGUCGAAAGACGGACUUAGUGAUCCGGUGGUUCCGCAUGGAAGGGCCAUCGCUCAACGGAUAAAAGCUACCCCGGGGAUAACAGGCUUAUCUCCCCCAAGAGUUCACAUCGACGGGGAGGUUUGGCACCUCGAUGUCGGCUCAUCGCAUCCUGGGGCUGUAGUCGGUCCCAAGGGUUGGGCUGUUCGCCCAUUAAAGCGGUACGCGAGCUGGGUUCAGAACGUCGUGAGACAGUUCGGUCCCUAUCCGUCGUGGGCGUAGGAAAUUUGAGAGGAGCUGUCCUUAGUACGAGAGGACCGGGAUGGACAUACCUCUGGUGUACCAGUUGUCGUGCCAACGGCAUAGCUGGGUAGCUAUGUGUGGACGGGAUAAGUGCUGAAAGCAUCUAAGCAUGAAGCCCCCCUCAAGAUGAGAUUUCCCAACUUCGGUUAUAAGAUCCCUCAAAGAUGAUGAGGUUAAUAGGUUCGAGGUGGAAGCAUGGUGACAUGUGGAGCUGACGAAUACUAA
rnacentral:rRNA from 1 species